GAUGAACGCUGGCGGCGUGCCUAAUACAUGCAAGUCGAGCGAACAGACGAGGAGCUUGCUCCUCUGACGUUAGCGACGGACGGGUGAGUAACACGUGGAUAACCUACCUAUAGGACUGGGAUAACUUCGGGAAACCGGAGAUAAUACCGGAUAAUAUAUUGAACCGCAUGGUUCAAUAGUGAAAGACGGUUUUGAUGUCACGUAUAGAUGGAUCCGCGCCGCAUUAGCUAGUUGGUAAGGUAACGGCUUACCAAGGCAACGAUGCGUAGCCGACCUGAGAGGGUGAUCGGCCACACUGGAACUGAGACACGGUCCAGACUCCUACGGGAGGCAGCAGUAGGGAAUCUUCCGCAAUGGGCGAAAGCCUGACGGAGCAACGCCGCGUGAGUGAUGAAGGUCUUCGGAUCGUAAAACUCUGUUAUUAGGGAAGAACAAAUGUGUACGUAACUAUGCACGUCUUGACGGUACCUAAUCAGAAAGCCACGGCUAACUACGUG
rnacentral:rRNA from 1 species